AUGUAGAACUAUAGUCUAGCAAAAGGGGAUCUACGGGGUAGAGUGAAUCUUAGCUAGUGUACUUUGAGUGUCCUCACCCUUUAGAUAAGCAGUUCUCCAGGUGGUAAUACAUAUGCCUUUUGGUUCAGGUGAGCUUGACUUCCCUGGUUUUUAUUUCACGCUCAGGAAACCUUGUUCAUUAUUAUGUACCCCUUGUGUAGGUCCACUUCAGAGAGAAGUUCAGGUCCAUCUGACUUGCGAAGGUGAAUUUGGAUGCCUUGUGGGAUUUGUUUAAUUGGCUGGAUCCAGGCCACUGGGGCAUGGUUGAAAUUGACCUGAUCCUGCUGCUUGGAGGCCUGUUGGCUGUAGUUUUAGUGGAUUGCUGUGUGAGACAAAUUAAACAGUUGAUCCCAGCCUCUGUCACAUUGAUCAGUGAUCAGUGGAAUGAAUGGUGCAUUCAUGAAAAUUUCUCCAAGACUAAGAUGGUGUAGAAACGAAGGGUAGAAAUUGUGGAGAGAUGCUUUUCCAAAGUUCUUUGGUGUUUCUGCACAUCGUGAAAGCAGAGGCACUGACUGUGCCCUUUCUAGACCAUCUUUCCAAGGAUGUUUGUGCAGUGAACAGCUUUGCUAAAGAUAGAGGGGAUAUCUCCCUUUGGAGCAAAAAGCAGUAUUGCUUAAAGCCUUGGAAGAUAGACUUAGUGUCUCCCUUUGGAGCAAGGGACACUAGUAGUAUAAAAAAUUGGGGUUUCCUAAACUCUCUCCCUCUUUUGUUCUGCAACUUUCUGCAUGUGCUGUUAUUACCUGACCUGCUUCUCUCCUUGUGUUCAGGGAACUGGCCCAAGAAAAUGCUAACAUUCUGCCUCUUGCUAGUGUUUUAAAUGAUGCAGUCCUUUGUCUUAGACCCAUGGAUCUUGUGUCUUCUUUCAGCAUUCAUGGAACGGUGCAGAUUAACUUGUUAGCUUGCAAGCAAGGUAAAAUCUGUGAGCCUUCAUAGGUCUUGAAAUUUGUGUUGGAUAACAAUAAUAGAGUCAAGAUUUUCUUUCUUAUGCAACAGAAGUUAAUCUAUUCAUGAUUAAACCUUUUCCAGAAUGGAUUGGGUGCCCAUAUGUGUUUCUACUGCCUGGAAAAAAAUAUUGUUACUUGUUUUGUUGGAUAAAACUGCUCCAUUAUGUCUGAAGCUUGUAUCAAUGAGUGGAUCUUCCUAGGAGUGAAGUUAUCUAAGACUGUCACAUCUUUUACGCUAGCUUAUUGUAUUAACUUUUCCAGGGCUUCAGUUCUGUCACCUACAAAUGAGAGAAUCAUAUUGUCUAAGGUCCUUUCCAACUACAGUACUUCUAGGCAAUAUAAAAAAAAUAGCAUCACUUUAAUUUUAUUUAUGUGAUAAGUCCUUACAUUGUUUUUGCUACGGGACAGGUACCAGUCUUAAAUGCUUUUCAAAUAACUCAUUUAAACAAGGCUAAUGUUGUAGGUAAGGAAACUGAGGCAGAGAGUUAAGUAAUUUACUCAGGGUCAUCCAGCUAGAAAGUGACAUAGCUGGGGUUCAAACCCUGGUAAAGUUUGUACGCUUUCCCACAAUGCUGUGCUGCUCCCAGCUUUUCAUUGAAAAAAUGAUUCACUUUCUGCCCCGUGAGAACUCAGGAAGCCACAGGAGAGAAUGAAACAGGUCCCUGCUCUUCAGAAUCUGCACACAAAGUGAGAAUUUUAUGCUCUGUGUGUUUGUCCCACAGAAGGUCUCCAAGGUAAUCAUUUGCCUAGAAGAAUACCUUUUUAGAAUGUAAAAGUGUACAUUUUUAGGUUGGGUAGUUGGCUCCAGGUUUUUAAAUGCCUUAUUUAUGAUUGUUCACAUAAACCUUACGGUUCUAAUCUGUUGCUGGUAAACUAGGUUAGACUUCGGGGAACUAUGGAGACAUAAUUGGCCAAAAGGCUUACCUAGUUAAUACCUAAAAUAAGAUUAAUAAAAUUAUGUAUAGAAAUUAAAAUAGUUAUACUGAAUCAUUUUCUUUGAAAGUUUUUCAUCAACCCACAUCUCAUUUAUGUAUGCUAAUAUGAGCUUCUUGAGGAUAGUAGUAGAAUCUUUCUCAUCUUUGUGUCUGUAUCUAUAUUAUACCUAAGACAAUAUUUCUCACUGUAUUCAUUUAAGUGUUGAGUGAAUGAUCAUUUCUUUUUUAUAGUAUACAAGAUGAUUCUACGUAUCUGGCAGGGGCCUGGCAGGAAGCAAAAUUACACUCAGGUGGUCCAACCGAACAGGCUUGCAUGAAGGAACUACUUACUGAAGACUGAAGGGAACAAACUUACUGAAGGAAACAAACAAGGGAUGCGGAGGCACCGUGCUGUCAUGACUCCUAGGUCGAAAGGGGCAACUAUUAUACAGCAACUGCAUGGAGCCCAGGGACAGACUGACAGAGCUGUGGCUGGCACAGCAGACAGGAAAGAGAGACAAGGAGGAUAGAUACCCCUGUGUCUCCUGCCACCCUCCAAUCUCCUCCCAAUAAUCCUCUCGUUGGCCGAGCCCGACUGGAAUACUGAAUGAUAAGGAGUGUAUAAAGGAGGGAGGGGGACAAAGGGAAAAUAGCAUGCUAGAAACAUCUGGAGUUGUCUCAGUCCAUUCAGGCUGCUAUAACAGAAUGCCAUAGACCACGUGGUUUAUAAACAACACAAGUUUAGUUCUUAGUUUUGGAGACUGGGAAGUCAAGAACAAGGUUCUGGCAAGAUCCAGUGUGAGGUACAGACUCACUUGCUGGUUCAUAGAAGGUUGUCUCCUCCUUAUAGGUUCACAUGGCCAGAAGAAAGGCGUAGGCAGCUCUCUGGGGUCUCUUUGUGGAAUAAUAUUCUGGAUUUGCCCAACAAUCAAAGGAGCAGCACCUAAGUAUCUCUACAAAAUCUGGAGGAUGGGCGUGAUCUAGAACACUGAUCAUGUUCUGACCUGCUGUACUGGCAGUGAGGAAGCAUAAGGUUGAAAAUGGAAUUCAGAUAUUUGAGCACUAGUGGGAUUCAACAGUGACCAAGUGGACAGAAAAAAACCACCUGACUGCCUGACUGCCAUCUUUUGAAAGUCCCAUUUACAAGGUUGGCCCUCGACUUGCAUCUGGGAACUUGUAUUUGGGGAGGGUUCCCAUCACUCCCAGAAUUGAUGGGUGGCUCACUGUGCCCAAACUAUUUGCACCAAUGGUGUGGUUUUGUGGAAUACCUGCCUUCCUUUAGGGAGUCUGGAAUUUGGGGAUAUGCCAGGCAGAGGGCAUGAUCCCCCUCCAGUAAAAAGCCCCAGGCGCUAAGUCCAAUGAGUUUUCCUAGUUGGCAACAUUUCACACAUGUCACAACUUGUUGCUGGGGGGAAUUAAACUCAUCCUGUGUCACUCUACUGAGAGGAGGCCGUUGGAAGCUUGUAGCCAGUAUACAAAUAAUUACACACAAUAUAUACAAUUUUGUGAGUUUGGAUAUAUGAAUACACUCAUAUUAACCAUCACCAUAAUCAAGGUAAUGAACAUAUCCACCACUGCCCAAGUCUCCUGGUGUUUUGUUGUUUUUGUAGUAACAACACUUAACAUGAGAUCUGUCCUCUUACAAAUUUUUAAGCACAUUACUGCUGACUACUGGCACAAUGUAGUAUAGCAGAUCUCUGGAACUUACCUUGUAGAACUGUAACUUUAUCCCCAUUAAAGAAGAACUCCCCAUAUCUCCCUCCAUUCCCUGGUAACCACCAUUCUAUUUUCUACUUGUAUAAUUUGACUUUUUAAAAUUUAUUUAUUUUUUCUCUGUUUUUUUUUAAAUUGAAGUUUAACAUACAGUAUGAUAUUAGUUUAAGACAUACAACAUAAUGAUUUAACAACUGUAUACAUUACUCUGCACUCACCACAAGUGUAGUCAUCAUCUGUCACUGAACGAUGUUCCAAUAUUAAUGACUGUAUUGCCUAUCCUGGACUUUCAUGUGUGCUUAUUGAAUAGUUUAUGACUAGAAGUUUGUACCUCUUAAUGCCCCUUAUCUAUUUCACCCAUCCCCUGCUACACCUACCCUCUGCAAUUACCAGUCUAGUUUUUUGUUGUUUGUUUCUGUUUUUUUAGAUUCCACAUAUAAAUGAAAUUACACAGUCUUUCUCUGAUUUAUUUCACUUAGCAUAAUACCCUCUAGGUCUAUCCAUGUUGUUGCAAAUGGCAGGAUCCCAUCUUUUUUAUGGCUGAGUACUAUUCUGUUGUGUGUGUGUAUGCACAUCUUUAUCCACUUAUCUAUGGAUGGAUACUUGGGUUGCUUCCAUAUUUUGGCUAUUGUAAAUAAUCCUGCAACAAAUGUUUAUAAGGGAAUGAUCUAGUUUCAUUCUUUUGCAUGUAGGUAUCCAGUUUUCCCAACACCAUUUGUUGAAGAGACUGUCCUUUCCCUGUUGUAUAUUCUUGCCUCCUUUGUUGUAGAUUAAUUGACCAUAUAUGCAUAGGUUUGUUGCUGGGUUUUCCAUUUUGUUCCAUUGAUCUAUGUGUCUGUCUUGGGGGCAGUAGUGUCCUGUUUAGAUUACUACAGCUUUGUCAUGUGUCUUGAAAUCUGGGAUCAUGAUACCUCCACUUCUGUUCUUUCUCAAGAUUGCUUUGACUGCUUGGAGUCUUUUGUGGCUCCAUACAGAUUUUAAUAUUAUUUGUCCUAGUUCUGUGAAGAAUACUUUUGGUGUCUUGAUGGAGAUUGCAUUGAAUCUGUAGAAUGCUUUGGGUAGUGUGGGCAUUUCAACAACGUUAAUGCUUCUAAUCCUUGAGCAUGGAAUAUCUUUACAUUUGUUUGUGUCAUCUUCAGUUUCUUUCAUCAGUGUCUUAUAGUUUUCAGAGUACAGAUCUUUCAUUUCCUUGGUUAAGUUUAUUCCUAUGUAUUUUAUUCUUUUUGGUGGAUUGUUUUCUUAACUUCUCUUUCUGGUAGUUCAUUAUUAGUGUAUACAAAUACAACAGAUUCCUGCAUAUUAUUUUGUAUCCUACAACCGAAUUCAUUUUAUAAGUGUUUUGGUAGAGUCUUUAGGGUUUUCUAUAUACAUUAUCAUCUCAUCUGCAAAUAGUGGUGGUUUUACUUCUUCCUUACCAAUUUGGAUGCUGUCUGUCUUUCUAUCUAUCUAUCUAUCUAUCUAUCUAUCUAUCUAUCUAUCUGAUUGCUGCAGCUAGGACUUCCAGUACUCUAUUGAAUAAAAGUUCAAGAGUGGGCAUCCUUGUCUUAUUCCUGAUCUUAGAGGAAAAGCUCUCAGUUUUUCACCAUUGAGUAUGAUGUUAGCUGUGGGUUUUUCAUAUACAGCCUUUCUUAUGUUGAGGUACGGUCCCUCUGAACCUAUUUUGUUGAGAGUUUUUAUCAUGAGUGAAUGUUGUACUUUGUCACAUGCUUUUUCCACAUCUGUUGAGAUCAUAUGAUUUUUCUUCUUCUCUUUGUUUGUGUGGUGUAUCACACUGGUUGAUUUGCAAAUACUGAACCACCCUUGCAUCCCAGAAAUAAAUACUACUUGAUCAUGGUGAAUGAUUCUUUUAAAUGUAUUGGUGGAUUUAGUUUGCUAUUAUUUUCUUGAGGAUUGUGCAUCUAUGUUCAUCAGAGAU